GGCCUAACACAUGCAAGUCGAACGGUAACAGGAAGCAGCUUGCUGUUUUGCUGACGAGUGGCGGACGGGUGAGUAAUCUCUGGGAAACUGCCUGAUGGAGGGGGAUAACUACUGGAAACGGUAGCUAAUACCGCAUAACGUCGCAAGACCAAAGAGGGGGACCUUCGGGCCUCUUGCCAUCAGAUGUGCCCAGAUGGGAUUAGCUAGUAGGUGGGGUAAUGGCUCACCUAGGCGACGAUCCCUAGCUGGUCUGAGAGGAUGACCAGCCACACUGGAACUGAGACACGGUCCAGACUCCUACGGGAGGCAGCAGUGGGGAAUAUUGCACAAUGGGCGCAAGCCUGAUGCAGCCAUGCCGCGUGUGUGAAGAAGGCCUUCGGGUUGUAAAGCAC
rnacentral:rRNA from 1 species